rnacentral:lncRNA from 10 species
GCAAACAUCCAUUGGAAAAAAAUGAAAAUGACUCUGAGCCUAUAUCAUGGUUAGGCAUAGAAUCUGUCAUGUGGAUUCUGCAAUCACAUCCAAGUUAAUCCACCUGCUCUUGGUAGUUUAGGAGGUGCUUCAUUUUCAUAUCUCAUCUUACAGGUGUACAUUAGGUCUUGAUAAGAGUUUCUCAUCUUGUGUUCCAGGUUUUGGUGUGAGGGAGUAACCUCCCUGAUCUCCCUGGUUCCUCUAGCAUCACAAGGCAGAAGCAGCAGCAUCUCUUCCAUCUGCUGUAGUGAGGAAAUAAAAGCAGGAGAGAAAACAAUACCUGUGGCCUAAAGAGCUCAACCUGACCUG